rnacentral:rRNA from 1 species
UACGUAGGGGGCAAGCGUUGUCCGGAAUUAUUGGGCGUAAAGAGCGCGUAGGCGGUCCGAUAAGUCGGCUGUGAAAGUCAGGGGCUCAACCCUUGAAAGCCGGCCGAUACUGUCGGACUAGAGUCCGGAAGAGGCGAGUGGAAUUCCCGGUGUAGCGGUGAAAUGCGCAGAGAUCGGGAGGAACACCAGAGGCGAAGGCGGCGACCUGGACAAGUACUGACACUCAACUACGAAAGCGUGGGGAGCAAACAGG